AUUCCAGCUCCAAUAGCGUAUAUUAAAGUUGUUGCAGUUAAAAAGCUCGUAGUUGGAUUUCUGGUGCAUUCCACUGGCCUAUUGGUUAACUCCAACUUGGCUCAUUUGGAAUACGCCAUCUUUAGGCAGACCCGUCGUGGCAUUAGGUUGUCGUGAUGGUUACGCCUAUCGUUUACUGUGAAGAAAUUAGGGUGUUCAAAGCAGGCUUAUGCCAUGAAUACGUUAGCAUGGAAUAAUGAGAUAGGAUUUCGGUACUAUUUUGUUGGUUUGCGUGUCGAGAUAAUGAUGAAUAGGGACAGUUGGGGGUAUUUGUAUUCCAUAGUCAGAGGUGAAAUUCUUGGAUUUAUAGAAGACAAACAAAUGCGAAAGCAUCUACCAAGGAUGUUUUCAUCA
rnacentral:rRNA from 1 species